rnacentral:rRNA from 1 species
GGCCUACGGGACGCAGCAGUGGGGGAUAUUGCACAAUGGGGGGAACCCUGAUGCAGCGACGCCGCGUGGGUGAAGGAGCGUUUCGGCGCGUAAAGCCCUAUCGGCAGGGAAGAAGAUGACGGUACCUGACCAAGAAGCCCCGGCUAACUACGUGCCAGCAGCCGCGGUAAUACGUAGGGGGCAAGCGUUAUCCGGAUUUACUGGGGGUAAAGGGAGCGUAGACGGCAGCACAAGUCUGGAGUGAAAUCCCGGGGCUUAACCCCGGAACUGCUUUGGAAACUGUGCGGCUGG